CUCUGCCUUACUGGGGUAAUCAGCAUGACAGGCGAGUGUUAAGGAAGUUCUGGAGUCAGAAGCAAUUCCAUACGGAAGACUCUGAGUUCCAUAUAUUAAUCACCAGCUACCAGUUGGUGGUUCAGGACGUUAAGUAUUUUCAGCGUAUUAAGUGGCAAUACAUGAUCUUAGAUGAGGCACAGGCAAUCAAGAGUAGCAGCAGUGUGAGGUGGAAGAUACUACUUGCAUUCAACUGUAGAAAUCGUCUGCUUCUCACUGGCACUCCGAUUCAGAACAGUAUGGCAGAGCUUUGGGCUUUGCUCCAUUUCAUCAUGCCAACACUAUUUGAUAGUC